UGCGGUGGCGGACACGUCUCUCUUCCUAUUGGUUUCCGUCCGUUUCGUUUUGGGACAUCCGAUGUCUCUCCGGUACCUGCGGGUGUACAGUCGCUGUAUGGGUGGAGUGUUAGUCAGUGACAGCUGAAACCACAGCAUGCUCUAGCUAGUAAGAAAAAACAAAAACCUUUCUCCAGGCUCAUCCUUGGAAUCCAUAUGGAAGGGGAAAUUUAUUCCAGGGGAGCUGCUGCUGCUACAUAGCCAACACAUACACAUAGUUUAUAGUAAUGGUGAUUCAGUCUACAUCCUACUGGCAGCAUCACUCGACUGUACCAGAGUUGUCCAACUAUCAAGCAGACUUCACCCCUUCACCCCCAGUUUGUCAUAUUCCCUGUAGGUGAUAACUAGAUGAUAUCAGGACAGAUGAAGAUAUUUAUUGGAUUUUAUUCCAUGGAUAUCAUACAUAUAGAUAUUGAUGUAAUAAUAGUAUAUAAAUUGAUAUCAUACAUAUAGACCAGUGUUUCCCAACCCAG